GUCCACGCCCUAAACGAUGUCAACUAGGUGUUGGGAGGGUAAAACCUUUUAGUACCGGAGCUAACGCGUGAAGUUGACCGCCUGGGGAGUACGGCCGCAAGGUUAAAACUCAAAGGAAUUGACGGGGACCCGCACAAGCGGUGGAUGAUGUGGAUUAAUUCGAUGCAACGCGAAAACCUUACCUACCCUUGACAUGUCCAGGAGCCCUUAGAGAUUUGGGUGUGCCCGAAAGGGAGCUGGAACACAGGUGCUGCAUGGCUGUCGU
rnacentral:rRNA from 1 species